rnacentral:rRNA from 1 species
AUUGAACGCUGGCGGCAUGCCUUACACAUGCAAGUCGAACGGCAGCACGGGAGCAAUCCUGGUGGCGAGUGGCGAACGGGUGAGUAAUAUAUCGGAACGUGCCCAGUAGUGGGGGAUAACUGCUCGAAAGAGCAGCUAAUACCUCAUACGACCUGAGGGUGAAAGGGGGGGAUCGCAAGACCUUUCGCUCUGGGAGCGGUCGAUAUCAGAUUAGCUAUUUGGUGGGGUAAAGGCCUACCAAGGCAACGAUCUGUAGUUGGUCUGAGAGGACGACCAGCCACACCGGGACUGAGACACGGCCCAGACUCCUACGGGAGGCAGCAGUGGGGAAUUUUGGACAAUGGGCGCAAGCCUGAUCCAGCAAUGCCGCGUGCAGGAAGAAGGCCUUCGGGUUGUAAACUGCUUUUGUCAGGGAAGAAAUCCUCUAGGUUAAUACCCUUGGGGGGAUGACGGUACCUGAAGAAUAAGCACCGGCUAACUACGUGCCAGCCGCCGCCGUAAUAC